rnacentral:lncRNA from 1 species
AAUUUUUGUAUUUUUAAUAGACAUGGAGUUUCAACAUGUUGGCCGUGCCGGUCUUGAACCCCUGACCUCAAGUGAUCCUCCCGCCUCGGCCUCCCAAGGUGCUGGGAUUACAGGUAUGAGCCACCGUGCCUGGCUGAGUUCCUCAUUCUUGGUGAUAAAGAGCUGAAGAUGAUGAACUUGACCUUGAGUAAGACAGUAAAGUUGUGCUGCAUACCCUCAGGCUUACCUAUGGGCCAAGUAUUUUAUCCACAUCAGUAUCAUCAAAGGUUACUCUUCCAAUCUGGAUUCUUGGAAACAGAAGACACAUGAUACCAGCAGAGCCCAGGAGAUCGAAAGCUAAUUCUCAGCCCUUAAGACCAAGAAACAAUUGUUCAUUAUUGAAGCCACUGAGAUGUUGGGAGUGUUUGUUACCACAGCAGAAGCUGACUAAUCCAGACUAAAAUGGCAUUCAGGUUUUCUGCUAAACUUCAUUCCUUUUUCUGUUAUUUCCCUGACAAAAAGCAGUAUCUUUUAAACUAUAUUUAGACUGUCCCUGUUCUUUUUCUAUUUUUGAAGAAUAUGAACAAAAAAGUUUUUGUAAACUGAACAUUAGUUCACUCAAAUAUAACUAAAUGACUCUCAAAAUGUUCCACCACAGUAGUUUUAAAAACAGAAACAAUAAGGCUGGGCGCGGUGGCAACGCCUGUAAUCCCAGCACUUCGGGGGGUCGAGGCAGAUGGAUCACAAGGUCAGUAGUUCAAGA